GAUGAACGCUGACAGAAUGCUUAACACAUGCAAGUCAACUUGAAUUUGGGUUUUUAACUUAGAUUUGGGUGGCGGACGGGUGAGUAACGCGUAAAGAACUUGCCUCACAGCUAGGGACAACAUUUAGAAAUGAAUGCUAAUACCUGAUAUUACGAUUUUAAGGCAUCUUAGAAUUAUGAAAGCUAUAAGCACUGUGAGAGAGCUUUGCGUCCCAUUAGCUAGUUGGAGAGGUAACAGCUCACCAAGGCGAUGAUGGGUAGCCGGCCUGAGAGGGUGAACGGCCACAAGGGGACUGAGACACGGCCCUUACUCCUACGGGAGGCAGCAGUGGGGAAUAUUGGACAAUGGACCGAGAGUCUGAUCCAGCAAUUCUGUGUGCACGAUGAAGUUUUUCGGAAUGUAAAGUGCUUUCAGUUGGGAAGAAAGAAAUGACGGUACCAACAGAAGAAGUGACGGCUAAAUACGUGCCGGCAGCCGCGGUAAUACGUAUGUCACAAGCGUUAUCCGGAUUUAUUGGGCGUAAAGCGCGUCUAGGUGGUUAUGUAAGUCUGAUGUGAAAAUGCAGGGCUCAACUCUGUAUUGCGUUGGAAACUGUAUAACUAGAGUACUGGAGAGGUAAGCGGAACUACAAGUGUAGAGGUGAAAUUCGUAGAUAUUUGUAGGAAUGCCGAUGGGGAAGCCAGCUUACUGGACAGAUACUGACGCUAAAGCGCGAAAGCGUGGGUAGCAAACAGG
rnacentral:rRNA from 1 species